GUGCAACUAAGUUUCUAGCAGGAAUUUCUAAUGUUAGAAUCUAUCUCUUACGGUUUCAAUUUUUGAGGCUUCGUGUUUGCCUACUUUUGAAAAUCUGAUUCAACUCGAGCUGAAUUUUAGUGGUCGGGAAGAUCAAAGAUACUGUCAUUCAGAGGCUUAUGCCACUCAUCAUCCAUUGGACAACAAAUGGUUUGAGGAACAUGAGCAUAAAUGGAAUGUGAGCAAUAAUCCACCAGACAUCGUGCCUCUUUGUUUGUUGUCACAUCUCCAGACCAUC